AUGCGGGCCCCAGCACUGUUUCUGGUUGUCUUGGCUCCCAUCAUGCAGGUAUCUUCCAACUUGAUGUUAAUCACUAGUAAGACUGGGGAGACUGCUUCGUUCCCUUGUGAUCUUACACAAGGGGCCACCUAUAUCCACUUGUACAAACAUGAGGAAGGGAUGGCCCCCCGACGCCUUUUAUACUACGACAGCUACAACUCAAAGCCUGUGCUUGAAUCAGGAAUCAGUGGAACAAAAUACCAUGUCUAUAAGGGCACAGGGAGGAGCUAUACAUUUGCAAUCCUAAAUCUGCAAGCAAGUGAUUCCGGCAUAUACUACUGUGCUAUCUGGGAUAGGAAUAAUUACAUAAAAAACUUCAAUGUUGGAGCAAAACUCAUUGUCACAGAGAGAAACCUUGCUGCAGACACUUCCCCCAAGCCCACUGUUUUUCUUCCUUCAAUUGCCGAAAUCAACCAUGAUAAUGCUGGAACAUAUCUUUGUCUCCUGGAGAAAUUUUUCCCUGAUGUUAUUACCGUCUCUUGGAGAGCAAAAAAUGACAAAAGAGCUCUGCCAUCCCAGCAGGGAAACACCAUGAAGACCAAGGACACAUACAUGAAGCUCAGCUGGCUGACCGUGACCGAAAACUCUAUGGAUAAACAACAUGUGUGUGUUGUCAAACACCAGAAAAAUAUAGGAGGAAUUGAUCAAGAGAUUAUUUUUCCUUCAAUAAAAGAAGUUGUCACCUCAGCUGUCACUACUACUGAGCCUCCAAAUGAUUGUUUGACUGAUGAAAGCAGUGCCCUGCAGCUGCAGCUCACGACCACCUCUGCCUAUUACACCUACCUCUUACUCCUCCUCCUGAGCACAGGCUACUUUGUUGUCAUCAUUGCCUGUGUGUUUAGGAGAACCGGCGCCUGCUGUGACGGGAAGAUCUCAUGA